rnacentral:rRNA from 1 species
UACGUAGGGCGCAAGCGUUGUCCGGAAUUAUUGGGCGUAAAGAGCUCGUAGGCGGCCUGUUACGUCUGCUGUGAAAUCCCGGGGCUUAACCCCGGGCGUGCAGUGGAUACGGGCAGGGUGGAGGCAGGCAGGGGAGAACGGAAUUCCCGGUGUAGCGGUGAAAUGCGCAGAUAUCGGGAGGAACACCGGUGGCGAAGGCGGUUCUCUGGGCCUGUACUGACGCUGAGGAGCGAAAGCGUGGGGAGCGAACAGG